UACGGAGGGUGCGAGCGUUGUUCGGAAUCACUGGGCGUAAAGGGCGUGUAGGCGGUCCGCUAAGUCUGAUGUGAAAGCCCGGGGCUCACCCCCGGAAGUGCAUUGGAAACUGGCGGACUCGAGUCCCGGAGAGGAGAGUGGAAUUCCUGGUGUAGCGGUGAAAUGCGUAGAUAUCAGGAGGAACACCGGUGGCGAAGGCGGCUCUCUGGGACGGUACUGACGCUGAGACGCGAAAGCGUGGGGAGCGAACAGG
rnacentral:rRNA from 1 species